AGCCUUGCGGUGAUCCACGCUAGAGUGCAAAUCUAGAGACGUACACGAGGGUGUACCUAGGCUU
rnacentral:tRNA from 1 species